GAUGAAGAACGUAGCAAAAUGCGAUAAGUAAUGUGAAUUGCAGAAUUCAGUGAAUCAUCGAAUCUUUGAACGCACAUUGCGCCCGCCAGUAUUCUGGCGGGCAUGCCUGUUCGAGCGUCAUUUCAACCCUCAAGCACAGCUUGGUGUUGGGACUCGCGUUAAUUCGCGUUCCUCAAAUUGAUUGGCGGUCACGUCGAGCUUCCAUAGCGUAGUAGUAAAACCCUCGUUACUGGUAAUCGUCGCGGCCACGCCGUUAAACCCCAACUUCUGAAUGUUGACCUCGGAUCAGGUAGGAAUACCCGCUGAACUUAAGCAUAUAAAUAAGCGGAGGA
rnacentral:misc_RNA from 1 species